AUUGAACGCUGGCGGUAUGCUUAACACAUGCAAGUCGAACGGUAGCAGGCCUUCGGGCGCUGACGAGUGGCGGACGGGUGAGUAAUGCAUAGGAAUCUGCCUAUUAGUGGGGGACAACGUGGGGAAACUCACGCUAAUACCGCAUACGCCCUACGGGGGAAAGCUGGGGACCUUCGGGCCUGGCGCUAAUAGAUGAGCCUAUGUUGGAUUAGCUAGUUGGUAGGGUAAAGGCCUACCAAGGCGACGAUCCAUAGCUGGUCUGAGAGGAUGAUCAGCCACACUGGGACUGAGACACGGCCCAGACUCCUACGGGAGGCAG
rnacentral:rRNA from 1 species